rnacentral:tRNA from 1 species
UAGUGUGCAGCUCAGUGGUAGAGUGCAUGCCUAGCAAGUGUGAGGCCCUGGGUUCAAUCCCCAGUAACUAA